CUAUACUUUGUUCCUGGGAAUAAUUACUUGUUUGGUAAAGAUAAGGACAAGGAAGAGUGCAGAAGAGGAAAAUUUCCCUCUAGGAACUCUGCAUCCAAUAUUCACAACCUCAGGGCUCUGAACAAGCUGGUCAAUAUACAACAGAACCAGUCUGAGAAAACAUACUUACCUUUAAAAAAGACAAAAUUUCCAUCACUGUUUUCAUAAACUGCAUCAAUACUGGGAGGCAAGCCCCGCCAGAAGUAAGUAAUUUGCAUGGGGUAUCCAUCCAUCACCCUGUUGUUUCUCACUCGCCAAAACCACUGGUCCU